rnacentral:rRNA from 1 species
UAUAGUGUGAACUGAAUCAUCUUAGUAACACUAGAAAACAAAUCAAACGAGAUACUGUAAGUAGUGGCGAAUGAAAGCAGUUUAGGCUUAGUAAUUUUUGUGAAAAUUCUUUGAAUCAAUAUUAAAGUACCUAAGAAGGUUUAAGUCCUGUAAAAGUUGUAAAAAAUUACGAUUUUAAGUAUUACGAUUUAAUUUGUAUGAAUAUGGGAGGACCACCUUCCAAGCUGUAGUAGCUUUUUUAACCGAUAGUGUACGAGUACCGUGAGGGAAAGAUGAAAAAUUCCGUUUAGGAUCAUUAAAAGUAAAGUUGAAUGCUUCAUUUUUUGAAGUUUUAUUAAUAUAACAUAAAAUGACAAAGUGCCUUUUGCAUAAUGAGUCAGUAAGUUAAUAUGGUAUAGCAAGCUUAAGUAAAAAUAUGUAGGCACGUUUUAAGUUAUAUUUAUUAAACCUGAAGUCAAGUGAUCUAACUGUGAGCAGGUUGAAGAUUCAGUAACAUGUUUUAGAAGACCGAACUCGUAUAUGUAGCAAAAUAUUGAGAUGACUUGUAGUUAGGGAUGAAAGAUCAAUCAAACUUGAUGAUAGCCGGUUUUUCACGAAACGUAUUUAAGUACUACAUCAAUAAAAGUAAACUGCAGGUAUAGUAAAAAUUAAAUGAAGGGGCUUUUGUUCUACUGAAUUUAGUUUAACUUCAAAUUGUAGUUUAAUUUUGUAUUGAUAGACAGUCUUUAAGCGAUAAGGUUUAAAGACGAGAAGGAAACAACCCAGAUCAUUUGUUAAGGUCUCAAAAUUAUAGCUUAGUGUGGAAAAUUUUUUAUGAGACAAAUAAUUUAAAUAGGCUUAGAAGCAGCCUUUUACUGGAGAAAGCGUUUUAGCUCAUUGUUACUCUAUAAAAAUUUAAAAUAAAGGAGGCUUAAAGUUAUAUACCGAAACAAUGAAUCAAAUUUUUAAUUUGAUAGUAGUGAAACGUUCUGUAAAUUGUUUUAUUAAUGAAAAUUGAAUAAAACUUGAUCAGAAGCGCUAAUGCUGACAUGAGUAACGUAAACUAUGUGUAUUUAAAAUCAUAGUCACCUAUUACUGAAGAGUUUCAACGUAAUUUUAAGUACGUUGAGUUAGUCGGUCCUUAAGAGAAGAGUAAAAACUAUACUUGAAAGGUGUUUAUCCAGUUGUAUAUGACAAAUCACAAGUUUGUCGUGCAUUAGUUAAUUAAAAACAGUAAUGCUUUUAGGUUAGUUUUACUAUAUUUUUAACUUCGAGAAAAACUUGCAACAUUGAUAUAUUGACCGUAUUUAAUCCGACGCAGGUAAGUAAGUAGAAAAUACUAAGGUGUAUGGGAGAAUUAAGUUUAAGGAACUUGGCAAAUUUACUCUGUAAACGCAGGUAAGUAAGUAGAAAAUACUAAGGUGUAUGGGAGAAUUAAGUUUAAGGAACUUGGCAAAUUUACUCUGUAAGUUCGCAAUAAAGAGUACCGUAUUAUAUUUACGGUGUCACAAAAUAGAAAGUAACGACUGGUUAUCAAAACCACAAGACUCUGCUAAUUGGUUAACAAGAUGUAUAGAGUUUGACACCUGCCCGGUGCUUGAAGGCGAAUAAAUGUAUGUUUACGCGUAUAUUUUAAUCCCAAGUAAACGGCGGUUCUAACUAUAAGAAUCCUUAGGUAGCGAAAUUCCUUGACGGGUAAGUUCCGUCCUGCAUGAAUGGUGUCACGAUUGCUUUACUGUCUCUAAUUUAAACCCAGUGAAAUUACAUUGUCUAUGAAAAUGUAGGCGUUUUACAGUAAGACGGAAAGACCCUAGAUCCUUUACUUUAACUUUGUAUUGAAAAAAGUUACGGUUUUAUGUAGUUUAUAAGUGGGAGUAUUAAAAAUACUUUAAUGAAAUACCACUUGAAAUAUAACUUUUUUCUUUAUUUGUUCUACUGAAUAAAAACAGUAUAAAGUCGGAAGUUUACUUGGGAUGAGGACCUCCUAAAAUGUAACGGAGGUGUACAUAAAAUAAGUUUUAAUUAUUUUUUUUAAAUAAUUAAAUGUAUAAUGACAGUAAACUUAUUUGAUAGUGAGAUUGAUAAAUCGAACUGAGAUGAAAGUCAGUCAUAGUGAUCCGGUAAAUAUGUGUGGAAAUUUUACCGCUUAACAAAUAAAAGGAACUCUAGGGAUAACAGAUUCAUCAUGGUUAAGAGAUCCUAUUGAUGCCAUGGUUUGAUACCUCGAUGUCGACUCAUCUUAUCCUGGAUUUGAAGCAGAUUCCAAGGGUCUAGUUGUUCGCUAGUGAAGAAGGUACGUGAGUUGGGUUCAGAACGUCGUGAGACAGUUCGGUCCCUAUCUGCUGUAAAAAAGAAAAGAGAAAAGUUUAUUUUUAGUACGAGAGGACCAAAAUAAGUUAACCUCUAGUUUGUUGAUUGUUAUACCAUUAGCAUGUCAAUUAGCCACGUUAGUAUUGUUUAUAUGCUGAAAGAAUCAAUUGCAUGAAAACAUAUUUUACUCUUUUCGAGAAUAACCUAAAAGAUUAUUAGAUAGAUCGGUUUACUAUAUUUUUUAGUAAUAAAGUUGUAGUUAAAUACGAAUUUAUUCAUAAAUAGAUCCA